GCGCUGGUUAGUGAAUGGAGGGCGAGGCAGGAGAAGGUGAGUGACAAAGUGCGGACACCUGUUGUCAACUGAUGUUGUGUGUGUGUGUGUGUGUGUGUUUAUGCAAAGUCCCAACAUUAAACUGGAAAGCAAAUUUACAAAUAAAAAGGACUGUGUAAAACAUCAUUUCCUCCCUGCCUGCCCUCCAGUGUUCCACACACGCCCCAGGGAAAUCCUACACUAACCCCUGUGUUCCAAACUUUAUUUUGGUCAUCAAACACACACACACAAGUUGCAAAUAUUUUAACCCUUAUUUCAACAACAAUGACAGAAGGGGCACACAGAGUCUCUUCCAUGAGUAUGGGAACAGCAAGGCCAUUUUUUUCUAGAACCUGAAAACAUUUGGAUUUGAGAUCAGAAGAUAAAUAGGAUAUGAUUAAUCAGAAUUUCAGCUUUCAUUACCUGACAUUUUACAUCUUGAAGUAUUAAACAGCAGGUGCUUCUUGUUGAAUGUUUAAACAAUUAAAAGCUCUGAAUGUCUCCUCUUGGUUUGAGUCCUGGGACUGCAUUUGCUGUUAAAAAGAUUGUUUUCUGAUGCCUCCAAAUGAUUUUUCUUCAUCUUUUUUCCUCUGCUUCUUUUUCAGACUCCAACUCCACAUGAACCCACAGAUUCACCAACCAAAUGGCGGAUUACACUGAUCUACAGGUAGUGAGUAGCAGCCAAGAACAGAUGCUUGGACAACAUCACCAGCAUUUUGAUUCCGUGACUCAGUCCAUCAAUACUCUCACGCAACAGCAAGACAUGAACCACUGAGCUGCCCUAUAAACUUCAAUUCAGCAGCACCAUCACCUGUAUCAUCUGUUAACCCAGCUCAAUGGAAUCCAAGUUCAAGACUAUAUUGCAUUAUAGCUGUGGACGGACAUCAAUGGACCAAGGUCUGAAAUCACGUGCUUGUUCUGCUAGUUAUAACACUCAAAUUCAUUACAGCACCUAAACCUUAAAAUAAUGAAAAAGCUACAUUUUCAUGUCACUAAGCUGAGCUGAGUUUAAUAUGCUUCGAACAGUUCCCUCAGUUUUAACAUUCUCUCUUUCUCAAGACAAAUAAACUUGCUAGCUAACAUCCACUAGUAUGGCUUAGUGUGACAAGCUUCAUGACAGUAAAUGUUUAUGUUGCUAAUACAGUUAGACUUUUUGGGUUUGUAAUGUUUUGAAUAUUACAUGUGUUUAAUUUAUAUGCUUUAUAGUAAUGCUACAUUCAACUGAAUUCAGAAGUGGAAAUUUAGAACUCAGAAUUACUGCAUUUUUGCAUUUGAGCUACAAAUUGUGGGGGGACACCCCCAUGUUUGCCUUUUGUUAGCAACACGCUAGCCACUAACUGUGAUGAGUGCUGCAUUCUGACCUCCUCAAAACAGCAAAACUGUAUAGUUAGUAUCAUCAUGAGCCAAUAUGUCUGUAUGUUGAUUAUUUCUCUUAGCAAUAUUUCAUCUCAGAAAUAUUGCUAAGAUAAGAACUUUAAUGUUACUAGAUCUCAUCUCAUUAUCUCUAGCUGCUUUAUCCUGUUCUACAGGGUGACGCGGAAAAACUAGUUCAUGCUUUCGUUCCCUCCAGGUUGGAUUAUUGUAAUGCCUUACUGUCUGGAUGUUCCAAUAAGUGCAUAAACAAGCUCCAGUUAGUUCAAAAUGCAGCAGCAACAGUCCUUACUAGAACUAGAAAAUAUGACCACAUCACCCCUGUCUUAUCAGAAUCAGAAACACUUUUAUUGCGAGGUAUGUGGACACACACGAGGAAUUUGACUCUGGUUCACUUAGCUCUCAUAGUACAAAACAGAUAAAAAAAAGUAUACACAAAACAAAUAAACAAGCAAACAACAACAACAACAAAAAUAGGUGCAUAGUGCAAAGUAAUCCAGGUAAGUCAAGUAUGGAAUAGUUAAAUAAAUAUAAAGUAUACAGCGUGCACAGAAUGACGGUAUAAGUGUUCAGAUAUUUUACAAGUAGUAUUACUGAUAUAUGAAUCUGGAUUUUAGCUGUUCAUCACAGAGACAGCCUGAGGGAAGAAACUAUUCUUGUGUCUAGUUGUUUUUGCAUACAGUGAUCUAUAUUGCCUCCCUGAGGGGAGAAGAUUAAACAGAUUGUGACCAGGGUGUGAUGGGUCCGCAGAGAUGUUACCUGCCCGUUUCCUGACUCUGGACAAGUAUAGGACUUGGAUGGAGGGCAGGUUGACACCAGUAAUUUUCUCUGCAGACCUUAUUGUCCGUUGCAGUCUGUUCUUCUCCUGUUUGGUGACCGAUCCAAAUCAAACAGUGAUGGAAGAGCAGAGAACAGACUGAAUGAUGGCAGAGUAGAAUUGUGUCAGCAGCUCCUUAGGCAGGUUGAGCUUCCUGAGCUGGCACAGAAAGUACAACCUCUGCUGAGCCUUUUUGAUGAUAGUGACUGUGUUUGUCUCCCACUUCAAGUCCUGAGAGAUUGUGGAACCCAGAAACCUGAAGCUUUCAACGGCAGUCACAGUGUUGUUGGUGAUGGUGAUGGGCAGCAGAGUGGGGGGGGCUCCUCCUAAAGUCCACUGUCAUCUCCACAGUUUUGAGCAUGUUCAGCUCCAGAUUGUUCUGACCGCACCACCAGACCAGCCGUUCAACCUCCCGUCUGUAUGCAGACUCGUCACCGUCCCAGAUGAGGCUGAUGACCGUUGUCUCAUCUCAUCUCAUUAUCUGUAGCCACUUUAUCCUGUUCUACAGGGUCACAGGCAAGCUGGAGCCUAUCCCAGCUGACUACGGGGGAAAGGUGGGGUACACCCUGGACAAGUCGCCAGGUCAUCACAGGGCUGACACAUACGGUAGACACAGACAACCAUUCACACUCACAUUCACACCUACAGUCAAUUUAGAGUCACCAGUUAACCUAACCUGCAUGUCUUUGGACUGUGGGGGAAACCGGAGCACCCGGAGGAAACCCACGCGGACACAGGGAGAACAUGCAAACUCUGCACAGAAAGGCCCUUGCCGGCCACGGGCCUCGAACCCGGACCUUGAUGACCGUUGUAUUGUCUACAAAUUUCAGGAGUUUAACAGACAGGUCUCUUGAGGUGCAAUCGUUGGUAUAAAGGGAGAAGAGCAGUGGGGAGAGCACACAUGGGGGGCUCCAGUGCUGAUAGUCUGAGUGCUGGAUAUGAUGCUCCCCAUCCUCACCUGCUGCUUCCUGUCAGUGAGGAAGUUUGUAAUCCACUGACAGGUGGAGGAGGGCACAGUGAGCUGGGUGAGCUUGGUGUGAAGGAUAUCUGGAACAAUGGUGUUGAACGCCGAACUGAAGUCCACGAACAGGAUCCUGGCGUACGUCCCUGCAGAGUCAAGGUGUUGCAGGAUGUAGUGCAGUCCCAUAUUGAUUGCAUCAUCCGCUGACCUGUUUGCCCAGUAGGCAAACUGCAGAGGGUCCAGCAGGGGGUCUGUGAUGUCCUUCAGGUGUGACAACACCAGUCUCUCAAAGGACUUCAUGACUACAGAUGUGAGAGCUACAGGCCUAUAGUCAUUCAGUCCUGUGAUGGUGGUUUUCUUGGGAACCAGGAUUAUUGUGGAGCGUUUGAAGCAGUGUGAAGGACUUCACACAGGUCCAGGGAUCUAUUGAAGAUCUGGGUGAAGAUGGGAGCCAGCUGAUCAGCACAGACCUUCAGACAGGAGGGUGACAUACCAUCUGGGCCAGGUGCCUUCCUGAUUUUCUGUCUGUGAAAAAGCUGAAAAACAUCCUCUUCACAGAUCUUGAGUGCUGGUGUGGGGUCAGAGGCGAGAGGAGGCAGAAUAGCAGGGGGUGUAAAUGGGUCUUUAAUGUCUGAAGGGGGGAGAGGUGUGAAUUUGUCGAAUCUGGAGUAGAACACAUUCAACUCCUCAGACAGUUGAUGGUUCAUUGCAGUGUAGGGGGAUGGUCUCCUGUAGUUAGUGAUAUUCUUCAGACCUGUCCACACUGAUGCUGGAUCAUUGGCUGAAAGGCUGUUUUUGAUCCUUUCAGCAUAGCUCGUCUUAGCUGAUUUCACCUCUUUCAUCAGUGACUACGUUUACAUGCACGUCCAAAUCGAGCUGCUGUUGGUAAUCGAGCAAAGGGUCCCAGCAGGGGUGCCAGAGAAAUCCAAUCCUACAUGCACAAGUGAAAUCGGGCUAUUGUGCAAGGUGCAUUGUGCACCCGAGCCACACGUGGCGCUACACGCCCCAUCGUGUUGGUACACUUCCGGUUGUCGUCAUGAAGAAGAGCUAUAGUGUUGCCAGAUACUGCUGACGUUUUCCAGCCCAAAA